CCCUUAGAUGUCCUGGGCUGCACGCGCGCUACACUGAUGUGUCCAGUAAGCACCUAACCUCUUCCGAAAGGAACGGGUAACCUUUGCAAAGCACAUCGUGAUGGGGAUAGAUUAUUGCAAUUAUUAGUCUUGAACGAGGAAUUCCCAGUAAGCGCGAGUCAUAAGCUCGCGUUGAUUACGUCCCUGCCCUUUGUACACACCGCCCGUCGCUACUACCGAUUGAACGGUUUAGUGAGGGCCUCGGAUUGGUCUCGGCCCGCUCUUUACCGGGCGGCGCCGUUGGUCGAGAAGACGCUCGAACUUGAUCGUUUAGAGGAAGUAAAAGUCGUAACA
rnacentral:rRNA from 1 species